rnacentral:tRNA from 1 species
GACUGGCUGGCUCAGCUGGUGCAGCAUGUGACUCUUGAUCUCAGGGUGGCGGGUUCAAAUCCCAUGUUGGGCA